UGCAUAAAGAUGGCCUCUACUUGUAAGCUAUCGCUUUGCGAUGGGUCUGCGUCUGAUUAGCUAGUUGGUGGGGUAACGGCCUACCAAGGCGACGAUCAGUAGCCGGUCUGAGAGGAUGAACGGCCACAUUGGAACUGAGACACGGUCCAGACUCCUACGGGAGGCAGCAGUGGGGAAUCUUCCGCAAUGGGCGAAAGCCUGACGGAGCAACGCCGCGUGAGUGAAGAAGGUCUUCGGAUCGUAAAGCUCUGUUGUCGGGGACGAAUGUACCUUUUGUGAAUAAUGAGAGGUAAUGACGUAC
rnacentral:rRNA from 1 species